rnacentral:rRNA from 1 species
CGGACGUGGGUAACCUGCCUCAUACAGGGGGAUAGCAGCUGGAAACGGCUGAUAAAACCGCAUAAGCGCACAGCAUCGCAUGAUGCAGUGUGAAAAACUCCGGUGGUAUGAGAUGGACCCGCGUCUGAUUAGCUAGUUGGUGAGGUAACGGCCCACCAAGGCGACGAUCGGUAGCCGGACUGAGAGGUUGAACGGCCACAUUGGGACUGAGACACGGCCCAG